GGCUGCAGCGCCUGGGAGAAGGCAGACAGUGUGAGGGGGCCUGUGGCCCCAGCGUGCUGUGGCCUCCGGGAGUGGGAAGUGGAGGCAGGAGCCUUCCUUACACUUCGCCAUGAGUUUCCUGAUCGACUCCAGCAUCAUGAUUACCUCCCAGAUACUAUUUUUUGGAUUUGGGUGGCUUUUCUUCAUGCGCCAAUUGUUUAAAGACUAUGAGGACGGGAGGCCAAGGGGCUGGGAUGGCAGGUGCCAUGAACAGCGAGCUCCCAGAGUUGGCCAAAAGCACAGCGGAGGUGCAAAUCCAGCAGCCUGACUGGGCCAAAACUGUGGCUGGUGAUGAUGGCAGGUAUGCGUCCUGCAACAGUAGAAGGUGAGAGAGGCAGGUAUACCGAGGUCUUGGAGGAACACAGCCAGCUAUCAACUUCAGUCCUCACUCUGUGGCUGCCAACACAGUCUUUGAGGUCAGUAGAAAGAAUCUAACACACACUCCGUGGCUUUUCUUCCCAGAAACCUCCUUCUUUCAGCCCUGUCCCCCUAAUGCCCAGGCAUUCCUGUGGCCUCCCUCUCCCUGACUUUUGUUUAGAGAUCGUGGUCCUUUGGGAUCAACCCUGAUGAGGCCUGGGUUGCCCUGACCAGUGCUAGAUUUAGGGAAUCUUUUAUCAUACCUCACUUUGGGGUCAGCUUGGGAUUCAAAGAACCAAAAGGUAGCAGAGGGAUUUGAGAAAUGCUUAAGGAGUGAAACUGUCAUGACUUGGUGAUGAUGAAAGUUGGGGAGGCACCAGUGGGAAGAAGACUUUGGCUUGGUCUUUGUCUUGGCUAACCACUGCCCCUGGGUGAGUUCUGGUGACAUUGAAGGCUUUACCUGCCCAUGGUCGUAGCCGAAGGCCACAGGGCCAAGGUCUUCCUUUGAUGCCCCUCCACACCCUCUGGUUCCCUCAGAGAGAAAGUUUCUUCCUCUGGCUUCCCAUGAGAACUGGGCCCUUUCUCCGGCCCCAACCGGGCAGCGGGAGCUGAUUCCCACAUUCCAGCCUUAGGCUAAGGUCCUUCUGAUAUUGCAAAGAUAUCCCAGAACUGUGGGAUCCCGAGCUGCAAAUACCCCAGAUGGCUGAAGCGCUCUUAACUGUACUACAUUUAACAAAUUCACUGGACUGCCCCCCUGCAGACCACACCACCACCCUGUGCUCGCCCUGUCCUUCCAGUGGCCGGCUGCUUGGCAGACAGCCUGUGCCCUUCUGCUCCCACUGGAAUGUGCAGCUCAUCAUGAAGAGUUGAAUAAGACAUGGGUCUCAUUCAAAAGACCCCUCCAAAAAGAUACAGUGAGCUCCUAACCCCUGGAACCUAUAAAUGGGACCAUAUUUGGAAAUAGGGUCUUUACAGAUGCAAACAAGUUAAGAAGGGUCCUACUGGAUUAGAGCAGACCUUAAUCCAACAUAUAUGACUGGUGUCCUUGUAAGAAGAGGAGAAGACACGCAGAGACAGCUGCACGGCACUGUGCAUGGUAGUGUCUGCAUGACAAUGUGUGUGAGCUUGCGUGUGUGUGUGUAUGCACUUUAUGGGGUAUGCUGUGUUGUGAGGGGGGCUCUCUGUGGUGUGACUGGUGUCCUUAUAUGACUGGUGUCCUUAUAAGAAGAGGGGAAGACACACAGAGACAGCCGCACACAAGGAGAAGGCCAUGUGAGGGUGGAGAUGGAGACCGGGGUGAUGUUUUUACAGCCAAGAAACAGAAAGAAUUGUGGUAGACGGACAUGGAACAGAUUGGAGCCUCCGGAAGGAACCAACCCAGCAGUCCAGGGAACCUCUUCACUUGGACUUCUGGCAUCUAGAACAAAUAUCUGUUGCUCUAAGCCUCCUGGUUAGUGGUACCUGUUAGGGCAGCCCCAGGAAGCUAAUGCACCAACCCAGAGUCCUCUGUGUUUUGUUCCCAAACCUGCUUAUACCAGUUGCCUUUGUUAUUGUAAUGAGGUAAUUGAGUUAAACGUUACAUAAGCCCAUCGCUCUAAGUAUGAAAAGAGAGCUGCAGCUCUG
rnacentral:lncRNA from 1 species